GGGCAACAAAAACUGCUGGUUCGUUUGGUUAUUAAUUUACUGCUUUUUUAAAUUGGAAACUUAAUUUUAACGGGUGUCGAAGCAGACUGGUGCGAAUUUAAACUGCGAGAUGUCCAUGCUGGUGCUGUCCGCCGGGCUCCUGUGCUGGUUCCGACCCGCUGAGCCCCUCCUCCCCGAGGCGGCGGGUGUGAUCGCGGAGGGUCGGGCGCAGCUGGAGCGGGUCGAACAUUUCGCCAGCCAGCCGCGGUACGGAGAGUGCUGGUCAGCGGCGCUCCGGAGAGUCGACGUCGGGUGCAAGGAUUUCAACGAGGAGACUCAAAGCAGGAUCGCACUGGCUUUUGCUCACUGUCACCUGCAAAGGUCUGCCCGCUCGUUUCCCCUGUGCGCCGAGGGGAGCUCCGUUCAAGACUGCACUCGCCAUAUGGACGCGUUGGCCUUCAGCACCUACACGGAGUUCUUCACUCACGCCCACAGCAUCUGCUACUUCCUGCAGAGCGAGGCCUGGCAGCUGCAGGCCGAGAACACUGUCCAAAGGCUGACGGAGAAUUCGGCCCACGUUGCCCUUCAGCUGGAAGCUACGAACCGCCUGGCUGAGAGGAUGGUGGAGGCGCAGAACGCCACUCUGAGAUCCCAGGAAGAGAUCCUGCAGAACGGAGACGCCCUGAAACAGACCCUGCAGGACUCCUCUCAGGGAGUGAAGCAGGUGUUUGCGGAGAUGCAGCAGUCGGCCAGCGAGCAGCGGCUGGUUUUCUCAGAGAUCUUUAACCGCGUCUCGUUCCUGCACAGCUUCGUGGUGUCCGAGUCCCACACUCUCUACUCCCUGCUGUACAACCUCCUGGCACUGGGGGCAGUGUUCAUAGUGACUGCCACGCAGCGCACUGCGGGAGCCCGGCUGUUCCUGUUCUGCCUGGUCGCUCUCAACGUGUAUCUGGAGCGGCUGAUCUGCCACGUGGUUCUGGAGUCCACGGAACCGGGCUAUGAGCAGGCCGAGCAGCUGUCUUUCCUGGUCGGGUUGCUGCGCAGGUCCAUGGUUCUGUUCUCGGUUCUGGUUCUGGUCUACACUGCGGUCCGGUACAGAGACCUGACCCGGGAGAGUGUGGAGAUUCUGAGGCAGCUCCGAGAGACGCAGUCCAACCUGCAGGAGGUGUUCAGACAGGCCGAACGUCUGACGCAGUCGAUGGACGUCCGGAUGUGCCAGCGAGGGAAGGAGAAGGAGGAGGAGACGACCGAGUGGGACGGGGACGUGUCUGUCCUCUCGUUCCCUCGCUAUCCUGCCGAGACCAGCUCCUUGUCCUCUGACGCACAGAGCUCUGUGUGGCUGCAGUCUGUGGGGGUCCGUGAUCCUGUGAGCCCCUCUCAGAGGAGGUCUGUGGGGGACAGUGCUCCUGUGAGCCCCUCUCGGAGGAGGAGUUCUGUGGGGGUCCGUGAUCCUGUGAGCCCCUCUCGGAGGAGAUCUGUGGGGGAGAGUGCUCCUGUGAGCCCCUCUCGGACCAGCAGGAGACAGCAGUCUCAUUGGAGACACGUCUCCAAGCCAGCCCCCAGCGCUCUGGUGUACAGCAUCCUGGUGGAAGAUGAGCCAGCAAAGCCAAGAUACAACCUGCGCAAUCGGCAGUCCUUGCCAGGGCCGCUGGCAUUGCAAGGGUUAAAGUAGACGGACGGACGAAAAGAACUCCAAAACCACAAACUUAUAAACCUGCUGGGAUCUCGCAGCUGGAAAGCACAGAAAGAUUAGGUUGAUCCAUUCCUGGUUUCACGAGGAGUUUAAUCAUCAGACACACCUGAGCGUGUUACCUAUAUACACACUGGGGGCUGAUCAAGCUGGUAGUAAAACCUGGACUGGGUGACACUGCUGUGCAAUAGGAGUCUGCCAUCCCUGAUGUACAGAGGGUCUAUACCCCCGCUCUUAAACUCUGUAAUAAUCAAUGAAGUUUGUGGUUUGUUUUUUUUUAAAGGUCCGCUUUUAAUAAAGGAUCUUAUUCUGCAUCAUAAGCUGAGCUCAGUAGAAACUGACUUUGAAGUUGUACUGUAUUCUUAAACACCUUGCACUGUGACAUUGAUGUACAGCCCUGUACUCGCAACCCUGUGUGGUUUGCUGGUAACUGUGUUUGUAUUUUUUUUCAAAGCAAUCCACUGGUGAAUUUAAGCUCCUAACAGGUCCAGCUGUCAGUCAUGUUGACAAGAAGUUAUCAUUAAAAUAAAAUUCAGAUCAAGUCUGGGAAUUUUCAUCCUCAGAGUCAUAAUUAUAGAGGCUGUAUUUCCUUUGAGAGCUCUUUUAAAAUGGAAUAAGAAAUGGAUCAAAUGAUACAUGUUUGUUUUUUUUUUUUUUUGUUACUGGCAUGUGUUUUUGUGGUGCUGCUUUUAAUUGCAUUUCUUUUUUUGUACUUGGAAAAUAAAUCUUGAUUUUGAAAAAAUCUAUUUUCAACUUGCAAA